rnacentral:rRNA from 1 species
CUACGGGAGGCACCAGUAAGGAAUAUUGGUCAAUGGACGCAAGUCUGAACCAGCCAUGCCGCGUGAAGGAUGAAGGUCCUCUGGAUUGUAAACUUCUUUUAUAGGGGGCGAAAAAAGGGAAAUCUUUCUCACUUGACAGUACCCUAUGAAUAAGCACCGGCUAACUCCGUGCCAGCAGCCGCGGUAAUACGGAGGGUGCAAGCGUUAUCCGGAUUCACUGGGUUUAAAGUGUGCGUAGGCGGGCGUAUAAGUCAGUGGUGAAAUCCUGGAGCUUAACUCCAGAACUGCCAUUGAUACUAUAUGUCUUGAAUAUGGUGGAGGUAAGCGGAAUAUGUCAUGUAGCGGUGAAAUGCAUAGAUAUGACAUAGAACACCUAUUGCGAAGGCAGCUUACUACGCCUAUAUUGACGCUGAGGCACGAAAGCGUGGGGAUCAAACAGGAUUAGAUACCCUCGUAGUC